UAGGGAAUCUUCGGAAAUGGACGAAAGUCUGACCGAGCAACGCCGCGUGAGUGAAGAAGGUUUUCGGAUCGUAAAACUCUGUUGUUAGAGAAGAACAAGGACGUUAGUAACUGAACGUCCCCUGACGGUAUCUAACCAGAAAGCCACGGCUAACUACGUGCCAGCAGCCGCGGUAAUACGUAGGUGGCAAGCGUUGUCCGGAUUUAUUGGGCGUAAAGCGAGCGCAGGCGGUUUCUUAAGUCUGAUGUGAAAGCCCCCGGCUCAACCGGGGAGGGUCAUUGGAAACUGGGGGACUUGAGUGCAGAAGAGGAGAGUGGAAUUCCAUGUGUAGCGGUGAAAGGCGUAGAUAUAUGGAGGAAAACCAGUGGCGAAGGCGGCUCUCUGGUCUGUAACUGACGCUGGGGCUCGAAAGCGUGGGGAGCAAACAGG
rnacentral:rRNA from 1 species